rnacentral:tRNA from 1 species
UGGCUCAGUGGUAGAGUGCUUGCCUUGCAUGCAUGAGGCCCUGGGUUUGAUUCCCCG